GAGAGUUAAACAGUACGUGAAAUUGUUGAAAGGGAAACGAUUGAAGCCAGUCGUACCUUCGGGUAAUCAGCCUUUCGGGUGCGAUUCUGUGGGGCGUGAGGAGCUUAACCGCCUUCAUGUUUUGCAUAUUCGUGCACAUUUGGUGUACUUGUCCGUGUGGUGGGUUAACAUCAAUUUCGGUCGUCAUAAAAUGAUUGGAGGAAUGUAGCUUUGGUCUCGUAUCGAAGUGUUAUAGACUCUGGUAGAUGUGACGAUUGGGAUUGAGGAUUGCAACGGAUACCCUUCGGGGCUACUCGUCUGAUCUCUGAUCGUUGCUUUGGUGCCGAAAGCUUGCUUACGGUUAUCAAAGUCGAUGGUCAAUAGGUUAGAACGGGUUAAAUUCGUUAAGGAUGUUGACGUAAUGGCUUUAAACGA
rnacentral:rRNA from 1 species